UUUCUUGUUGACCACUCUUGCCUUUGCUCUGAAGAAGGGUGAGCAUUGAUCUGUUCUCUAACUUUUGCAGUGUGUUGCCCAGGAGAGAGGGCUAUACUUUCUCAUACUUUAAUUCUUGGAAAUUGCAUUUUUAUCAUAAAAGCUGAGAUCUCUUUGACAACAUGGUUGAUGCAGGUCGAGCAAGGACGCAAGCAUGCAUCCCACCAAAUUCCGCAGUCUGUUCUGGGCCGUGUGAGAGAGCUGGCCCUCAUUUAUCCAUACCCAAGAGGACGCAAGUCCAAGGAUACGUGUACCCCUGUUGUGUCUCCCAUCCCUUCCUCCACGGGUAAACUGGUUCCCAUGUCGACUGCUGUAAAAGGGUAAUAUAGUCUUAUAGAGCAAAAAAGUUACUUUGAAAUGUGAACUGAACCACUUACAGACUCGAAAUGUUUUACUCGGAAAAACGAACAGUUGAAAAUGAAGGUUCAC
rnacentral:lncRNA from 1 species